UACGAAGGGGGCGAGCGUUGUUCGGAUUUACUGGGCGUAAAGGGCGCGUAGGCGGCCUGCUAAGUCGAACGUGAAAUCCCUGGGCUCAACCCAGGAACUGCGUCCGAUACUGGUUGGCUUGAAUCCGGGAGAGGGAUGUGGAAUUCCAGGUGUAGCGGUGAAAUGCGUAGAUAUCGGGAGGAACACCAAUGGCGAAGGCAGCUCGCUGGGACGUUACUGACGCUGAGACGCGAAAGCGUGGGGAGCAAACAGG
rnacentral:rRNA from 1 species